GACAAAUAGCAAACAAACAAGGGGUUGUAAUGAAGCCACAUAGCAGGAUUAUAUUAGGAACACUGAUCACAUCAAAGGCAAUUUCUAGAACGACAACGGCCACAAUAUCUAAUACUGAUGUGGAAUGAUCCAACAGAAUUGAAAGGUUCACGCAACGCUCAAGGGCAGAGGUGCUGCCGAUCAUAGAAUGACCCAGCUUUGCACUACUGAUUACUUUCAUGGUGUUAAACACGUGCCUUAUUCGGGAUCAGCCUUCACUUCUGCUGCACAGACAGUACAAAUUAAUCCAGAUAGUUUCAUACAGAUUUAAUUCAAGAAGCUGCCUAAAUCUCAGGACAUACUUUUCCAACCCUCUCAUCAAGCCUCCCUUGGUCAGAACGUUUCUACAACACCCAACACCAAUUCUCUCCACGUCCUUCCCCAUUAACCACAUGGCUCUACCACACCCACAUGCUUCCGGAAGUUUCCAGAGGUCUUUCAAAGCCCUUUCAGCUAGCAGAUGGCCCAAGUUUAGGGGCGGAGGAUGGUCACAUAACCAAGAAUUCACUCGGUCAGGAAUUUUGAUGGAUUUAUCACAUUCCCACAAUGAUGUGGCUUUAGCUGUGUGGGGAUGGAAAAAUGCUAAGCGAAAAACAAAUGAGCUCCAGUUUGUGGAAUCCUUGUGUUUUGCAUGAAAACCUGCUGGUAUUUUUCCACUCAUGUCCUUUUAUCCACUUCAGCCUCAGUUGGUGCAAAUGCUCUGAGCAGGCAGUGGAGGUCUUUGGAUAAUCUGAUCAUCCUCUCCUUCUCUAUCCUCCGCAGGGGCUGAUUAUUGAAAACAGCAAUCGGAAAACUCUAGGCCUUAAUUUACCUCAUCAUAGAGAUGCUUGCUCUUGAAGAUAAGUGGCAUUGGAGAAACACUUUCAAGUAGAAGGUUAAGUAAAAAGGUGGAAGCAUUAAAUUAUGAUUUAUUAGAAGGCCCGAAGCCAUUCUUGUUUCAACUGUCUGAUCUUCAACACUGAAGUUUAAAUGUGAGAUUUGGUGGAAUAAAGUUAAUCCAAACUAUUUAUUGCUUUAAAAAAAUAUCAAGAGAUCUUAAUAAAGUCAUUGAAGGGUCAACAUAAGAUUGUUCGCAAUAAAGUGCAAGUAUUUUUAACAUGCGUUUUAAUAUAUUUAUAUAUACACUUAUAUAUAACCAUUUUAUAGUUUUUGGGGAGUACACCUCAUUUUACAACCUUGUCCUGUCAGUAAAAGUUUAAAUGAUCUGAUAUUUUAAUAUAUGUAUUGAUCCUCUUGACACAAAUUUAUGAGGGUCUGCCAACUGCUACUGUAACACUUAAAAUAUUUUAGGGGGAAAAAAAAAAAAAAAAAAAAAGUAAUGUAACCCUUAAAACGUGAAACUUUCCACUCAUUGAUAAGUCUGAAUUGUCCAGUUUCAAGCUAGUGACCUUAAUCUGAGAGCCGUUGGUCCACUUGGAGUGGAAUCAAGAAUUGAUACUUUAAACCAGGGCACUUACGGGUCAGACAACAGAUAAAGCCAACGGUGACUUCGCAGCUACAGAUUGACUCGCAAAUCUGUUCAUUGUGUGCUGACAACCACAACAUCCCUACACAAUUACUGACAGAGCAGAGGGUGAAAAGACAAAAAGACGGACAGAUAUCGAAUUGCGGGGUGGCAGAAAAACACUUUGAAAGACCAUUUUGUGCAUAUAAUCUUUUUUGUCCCCUCUGGCAUGCAGAGAACAGCACGCUCAGUCAGUAAGCGUGGGACAGACAGCGAGGCGAGAGAGAAAGAGAAGAAUGGGUUGAAACACACAGCAACAGUUGUUCUAUUGACUCUGCAGAAGUACUCAACAGAUAACCCAGAUUGAGCAACAACUUAAUGCAUCGCAAAAAAAUAAAACUGAGGCUAAAGAGGACAUUGUGUUCCUUCCAUGCAAUUGUAGAUAGUUCAGCCCGUUCUUAGUGUACCCAUGACCACAAGCAGCAUAUACAAUUAUAUUGGUCUCCGUCAUGAGACCCUUUUCUUGCAACUUGCAAGUCACGCUUUCUCUCUGGGAAUUUCGCCAGCUCUGAGAAAAAGGUGAACUACAUUAGUCAGCAUCAGAAACACACAGGCUUGCUAACAUUUAGAUUUAUUCAUUUGCCAGAUUUUCUAUGUAAAGUGAUUCACAGCAAAUUUUACCAGGAAUCAAGAACAUGACCUUGGCUUUGUUAAAGCUAUACAAAUAAUAAUAAUGAUUUUAAAGAAUGGCCCUGGACAUCUAGAGUAACUAAUUAGCUCCAACAUGUAUGCUUUUACUGAGUCGACAAAUCCCCCGAUGUACCUUUGAGCUCAUGAAUGGUUGCACAACAGUGAUAAACUUAUGUAGAAUCUGCAUAAAAUAUAAGGUAAGGGCAUUGGGUGUGCAACUAAAGAAAUAACACUAUGGUCAAAUUGUUGUGCAAGAUCAUGAGAGGCUGUGGGAGAAGCAUGGUGAAAAUUUAUAAAAUAAAAUCAUAUUCAGAUGUGCACUAAAGCCUGAGCUGCAUUUCCAGGGGUUACAUAACACCUGCCAAAAUCUGUGAUUUACUCCCUCUCAGCCUAAACUAAAACACUCUGCUACUCUUUGCAUAAACUCACAGGCAGCAGAAGAGCUUAUGAAAUUUAAACUCCUAAUUACAAAGAUGGAAAGGACACACAUUAUGACUGUUUCAUUAUAAUAAUUACAGUUCAGUUUUUUUAAUUUAGUGUUUUUUUAAUCACUUUGUGAAUGAAUAGAUUACAUUCUGAGGGCAAAGGGCAGCAAAGCUGCUGGUUUUAUCUUAGCUUCUUUAUUUAUAUCUGCCCCUCUCUAAUGAAAUGCUAACCUUUAUGGAAAAAAGGUUAAUGGGAGAACAUAAUUUAAGGGGUGAGCUAACAGAGCCACCGGCUGAUCUCACACAAGAACAGGCUGAAAAAUUGAAUAAUCCUUCAUCACGUAUGGAAAGAUUGUUUGAAAGGGAGAGACAGAACACUGAUUUUAUUCACAGUGGCCGUCAUAGAAAAUGUCUGCCGGUGAUUCACACUAACCACAACAUACAAUGGAGGAAAGGCAGUUAAACAGCUAAGUAAUUCUCUAAAAAGAAAUACAAAAUAAUCAUUAUAUACAAAAAAACAGCCUUCUAUCUCUACUCUCUAAGAAUUGAUGUAUCAAAAUACACAAGCAAAGGUUGUAGUUUAAAGAGCACAGCAUUUGCUGCAUGUAUUUCCCUUACAAAUGAAGCACUGCAGUGACAAUUAGGUCAUCCAUAGGCAGAUGUGGUGUUAAGGAACGGAAACGACUUUAUCAGAAGUGAAACUGCUGCUUCCUCUGACUUGUAAAUGAGAUUGUUAAAUAUGACUGGAGAUUUUAUGUGGACAACACAGUAAAUGAGAUGUACUGUCUGUGGGAGUGGGAACACAAUGUUAGGUUGUGGAAAUUAUUACAGAUAUGUAGCGAAAACAUAUAUAGAGAGAAGACAAGCAAAUAAUAAUAAUAAUAAUAAUAAUAAUAAUAAUAAUAAUAAUAAUACCUACAACACCCAUAACCAGACAAAGUGAAAUUCCACAGCAUAUUUCCAUACAUAUCACUUAAACAUAUACUUUAAAGGGAUAGUUCACCCAGUUUUGCCUAACUUCUCCUUUCAUGUUCCUCAGAAGAAAUUCAGUCAGGUUUGGAACAACAUGAGCAAAUUACAGAAUUUUAAACCCAUUUAUAAAAUAAAACAUCCAUAAAUGGAUCAUUUUAACUGCUGCUUAAUAAAACAGUGUGCAGAGAAAUGUGUAAAUAAUUUAAUCUCUACAAUAUACAUAGUUUACAUACAUUUUCAAAAAUCUACGAAAUGUAUGAGACCACAUCUCACAUUUAAUCAAAUAUCGAAGCAAAUUGGAAACGAUAAAACAUGUAGGGAGGACAAAUGUCUGUGGUCACGCCCCAUUACAUUGACGAAUUCUGAUAGGCCAGAACGUAUGAUUCCGAGCGAUACGAUUGGCCAGAUGACGUGUCCAUCAGCACGCCUCGUAUCCACGUUUCCCGCACAAUGAAUCUUGCAUCAUACGGAGCCCUGAACAUUUCUGAGCCCCUCGACCAAGCCUACAGUAAAACCAAAACUAGGUCAGUAGGACCUGCUCGUUAUUUUAACAUCUUCCUGAUCAAAGAUCAACGUUGAGGUAAAAUUUAUGUUCUGCAUCAAAAUACACGAACACUGACUGCUUUCAAUGAACCACACCGGUCACUCUUUUUUUAACCUUGACAAAUCGUCCCGUUCUUGGUUUUUAUUAAUUUCAUCCAUGUGUUCGUCGGCAUUUAAUGUUCUUUUUUUAUUGAUGAAGGAUACAUAAUUACGUUAAUUCAUUUUAAAAAUUGUGAGCAGACAACAUAAUCAACGUUAGCAUAAUCAUGACAAUAGCACAAUCAAAUUUUACAGGGCAAAACAGCUGAAUGUGAAAGUGUAUGAAGCCUCUUUUAUAAUUAGAACAAAAUGACACGAAUGUAGUGGAUGUAAAUGAAAUAACUGUCCAAUAUAUAAAUAAAUUGGAUGUGCAAUAUUUCAGAACCCGCAAUACUACAUCAAUGAGUGACGUUACACUUGCUGUAACUGUAAAACCGCCAGUUUAUUUUGCAGGCCAAUAUUAUUUACUUUAUUUCGUUCAUUUAAUCGUUACUAAUAAUAGUAUAAUGCAUAAUAGUUAAUAAUAAGCAGAUAUUUAUUUUAACGAUCAGCGCUUCGUUACAGACUGACUUUAUUUUAUUUUUUUUACAACUGUUAAAACAAUGUACAAAUAAUAAAUAACUCAAAAAAAAAAAAAAAAAAAAAAAUCACGGUUUUCUGCGCCCUGCCAACGUUGAACUCACGCGAGCGAUUCUUUCUGAUGAGAGCAACGCAUGCAGUUGCCGAUUGCACAGCAGAUUACAACGCACCAUAUGGCAAUCGCGUUCAGGAUGCUGCUCUGUAAAAUGCGCUGUGCACAAAGCCUGAUGGUGCCAAAAGGGUGGAGGGACAAGGCGUAGCUGGAGGAAUGGAAGUCUGUGGCACAACUAGGGUGAUGACUGACCAAGGCAGAGCUUUGAGGGAUGAUGGGCCAUGGUGGAGCCGAGGGAUCGUGGAGUCGAUAGGUCAACAGGAUGAGGUGGAGUCUGGGAUUCAGAGGAUUAAAGGAUGCCCUUGGUCCAGCCAGCAUCCUUGUUCUACUCAACCCCUCCCUUUUCCAUUGACCAUGUGCUGCUAUGUGAACAUCUCCCAUCAGCUUCUUCAUGGUCUUGCUGCCCUUUCCCUUUGCUACCCACAUGUGCUUCAAGGUGCCAUUAUGACUUCCUCACAUGCUAAUACCAAGCAAGCAUUACAUUUCUCCGAUAGGCAUAUAGUGCUGCCAGAGGACAUCUGCACCAGCUCUGCACAGUCUCACACAUACACACAGCUGCCAGUACUUCUUGGACUUAACAUACUGAUACAUUAUGUAGUCUUAUUUUUUUCUUGAAUUAUCGAUUAUCGUAAAUUAUUUUGGGUUGAGAAAACUUAGAAGCUUAGAGCUUAUACCUACACUUUACACAAACUGGUUGAUAUCAGUAAAUUUAAAGCUAAAUUAUAUGGAAGCUUUUCAGGUGAUGAAACACUUCAAAUGUCCUCACAAGUCAGUUUUCGAUUUGAUCUUCAAGUACAGUCAUCGGAGGGUCCGUAUUUGUAUAGGGUUUAAAAAGAAGUAAUUCUGUCUAAAGACAUUUCACAUGAUUUCUAUUUACUCUGAUAAUGAAUGACCUCAAUUUGAUAAAGACUUUUUAUCCAAACACAUCGUCUCUGCUUACAGUUAAAACGUGACUCUAAUCUAUAAAAAAUAGAGUUAAUCAGAAUAGAUCAUGUUCUGUAUGCUUGUGUUGUAACGACUACCGUGUGACCCACAGACACUUGUUAGGAAGGAAACGGUAUCUCUUUCCCAGGUUGUUUGUUCCUUGUCCUCCAUCCCUUGUUGUCAUGGUUAGUGUGAGUCUGGUGGAAACUGUUGUUCCCACAUAUGCAGAGUUCCUGUUUGACAUUCCAGUCUGCGACAGGAGAUGGACUCACAAACAUGGUCACCCAAUCAGUACCUGGACCAAUGCUGAACCUGGAGUCCUAUGAAAUGUAUGAGCCUGGAGAAGGUACUUGGGAUAUGCUAAUCAGUUUGCACCUCUACUUUGAUCACUGAAGAAUGGGGAUCCCAGACUUUUUGUCAGCUGAACUCCUUUGAACUAAAAUAUUUACUUGAAAUGUAAAUAGUAAUGUAAUAAUUUAACAACACAUUCACACGUUCAUGGUUAUCUGAUGCCAGUUAAUAGUCACAUGACAUGCAGGUAGACAAAAUAUUUCAUUGUAAUAUGCUAGUCUUGUGACUACUCUUUGCAAAAGGAUAGAAAUUGUGUGCAUCCAUGAGUACUGCUGCAUUGAUUCAAACCCUAUGAACAGUUCUAGCUUUCAUUCAGCUGAAAAAGGCCACAGCCAAGUGAACACAACACAACCAAUCUUUGCUCUUCCCUUCCCCCCACUCACUUUGUAAAUCAGCACAUCACGCUCUUCCUCACAUCACAUCCAGGUUAUGUAACACUGUUUCCUAGUUACCCUGGAGACAGAGGCUGCCCCCCCUUUCACCUCAGUGCCAGCCGUCCGCUGUCUCCUGUCGGAAUGGGAGGGUAGACAGCGGGAAUUCAUAAGGAGAUUGAUUGGUUGUUGUGUUUGCAUAUGUGUUGAAGGAAGAAUACAGAUGAGCAGAUAGUAUUAGGAAUAAGAAUUAUUGUACAGUGACAGCGCGAUUGGGCUUUUGUGCAAUUGAAAUGACACAUUUCCCUUGAAACAGAGUUAUUGUAAACACAAAGAAGCAACGUGCAUACGAUAACAACCUUGACUGUUUGAGGAUGUCGUGGCCUUGCUAGAUAAAGAUUGUGGAAUUUGUUUGCGUCUGUUAGCCGAAUUAUAUCCCAUUUUGAUCUUUAUACUGUUUAUUUGGGUAUAUAAUGGACCAUGGGAAUUUGAUCAAUCUUCCUCCAAUAUUAGCUAAACAAAAUAAACUCAUGUAACAUGUGUAAACUGCAUAUAUAAUUUACAAAAUGCCUAGCUGCUGCCAUAAUUCCUUCUGUUGGUCUCUGCUUACUUAAUUCACUCUAAUGAGCUCAUUUCAUUACAGACAUUUUAAUGAGUGCCUCCUAAGGAUAAUAUAAAAGCCAUAAUCUUUUAUUCA